AGUGAACGCUGGCGGUAGGCCUAACACAUGCAAGUCGAACGGCAGCACAGUGAGAGCUUGCUCUUACGGGUGGCGAGUGGCGGACGGGUGAGGAAUACAUCGGAAUCUACUUUUUCGUGGGGGAUAACGUAGGGAAACUUACGCUAAUACCGCAUACGACCUACGGGUGAAAGCAGGGGAUCUUCGGACCUUGCGCGAUUGAAUGAGCCGAUGUCGGAUUAGCUAGUUGGCGGGGUAAAGGCCCACCAAGGCGACGAUCCGUAGCUGGUCUGAGAGGAUGAUCAGCCACACUGGAGCUGAGACACGGUCCAGACUCCUACGGGAGGCAGCAGUGGGGAAUAUUGGACAAUGGGCGCAAGCCUGAUCCAGCCAUACCGCGUGGGUGAAGAAGGCCUUCGGGUUGUAAAGCCCUUUUGUUGGGAAAGAAAAGCAGCAGGUUAAUACCCCGCUGUUCUGACGGUACCCAAAGAAUAAGCACCGGCUAACUUCGUG
rnacentral:rRNA from 1 species